rnacentral:rRNA from 1 species
UUAACAAAAACAUGUCUUNAUGAAUUUAUGUAAAGUCAGCCUGCACAGUGACACUAAAGUUUAACGGCCGCGGUAGCAUGACCGUGCUAAGGUAGCAUAAUCAUAUGUCCUUUAAUUGAGAACUGGUAUAAACGGCUGAACAAGAAAUUAACUGUCUCUCCUAUAAAAUUUGAAAUUAACAUUUAAGUUAAAAGGCUUAAAUAAAAUAGGGGGACGAUAAGACCCUAUAAAUCUUUAUAAUUAGAUUAAUAAGUCUUAGAGAGUAGUUAUAAUCUGAGAUUAAUAUUUCAAUUAUUUUGUUGGGGCUACAAGAGUAUAAUAAGCAACUGCUUUGAGGAAUGAGUUAAUUAUUUCUAUCAUGUUUAUACUGAGAUCCUUCUUUAAAGAUAUCAGAUUAAGUUACUUUAGGGAUAACAGCGUAAUCUUUCUUUAAGAGUUCAUAUCGAAAGGAGGGGUUGCGGCCUCGAUGUUGAAUUAAAGAACCUUUGUGGUGCAGCAGCUUCUAAAGGAGGUCUGUUCGACCUUUAAAUCUUUACAUAAUUUGAGCUCAGGCAGGAGUAAGCCAGGUCGGUUUCUAUCUCCUGUUAUAAAGAUCGUUUGUUUCUAGGACGAAAGGAUCAGAAAGCUGAAAUAGUUUAAGCUAGUUUAUC